GAUGAACGCUAGCGAUAGGCUUAACACAUGCAAGUCGAGGGGCAGCAUGGUCUUAGCUUGCUAAGACUGAUGGCGACCGGCGCACGGGUGCGUAACGCGUAUGCAACUUGUCUCACAGAGGGGGAUAACCCGUCGAAAGACGGACUAAUACCGCGUACACUCUAUUUUGGGCAUCCAAGGUAGAGGAAAUGAAAUUCGCUGUGAGAUAGGCAUGCGUCCCAUUAGCUAGUUGGUGAGGUAACGGCUCACCAAGGCGACGAUGGGUAGGGGAACUGAGAGGUUGAACCCCCACACUGGUACUGAGACACGGACCAGACUCCUACGGGAGGCAGCAGUGAGGAAUAUUGGUCAAUGAGCGAGAGCCUGAACCAGCCAAGUCGCGUGAAGGAUGACUGUCUUAUGGAUUGUAAACUUCUUUUGUAGGGGAAUAAAGAGGGGCACGUGUGCCCCAGUGAAUGUACCCUACGAAUAAGCAUCGGCUAACUCCGUG
rnacentral:rRNA from 1 species